ensembl:lncRNA
CUCUUUAUAUACCCAGAAGUAGACUCCUUCAUUUUACUGGUAAUGUCAGAUUGUUUUUCAAAGCACUCAGACCCACAGCAGUAAGAUAUCCACAUCCUCUAAUACUUGCAUUGUCAAAUUUUUAAUUUUUGUCAAUUUCAGCAGGUGUAAAAUGGUAUUACGUUACCUAAUUUGAAUUUCCCUGAUUACCAAUACGUCUAAGCGUUUUUUUGACUGCUCAGUAGCCACUAGGGUCGCCCAUUUUGAGAAAUGCCUGUUUUUAACUCACUUUUUCUGUAGUUUAUUGCCCUUUAAAUGUACUGCAAAUAUUUUCUCCCACUUUGUGACCUGCCUCUUUACAGAAAUCGUUUGAUAACAAGGAUGUUCUUAAUUUUAAUACUGUCACACUUACAAUCUUUUCUUUUAGGAUGACAUCUUCUUUGAAGCUCAGUUAAAAGCUCUUUGUUACCCCAAUCAGGAAGUCUUCUAUAUUUUAACAUUUAAAACACUUUGAUUUUCGUAUCAAGCCCUAUAUAAAAUCCAUCUGGAACUGAUUUUGUGUAUGCAUCUAGAUACACAUUUUUUUUUCCCAUAUGCAUAACCAGUUGUUUCGUAACAAUUUACUGAACAGUUCCUUCUUCCCACAUGAUCUGUAACGCUACCUCUGGUGUAUAUAAAAAUCCCAUUUAUUCUCUGUUCAGUUGGUUAGAUGAGUAUGUCCCUGUACCAUUAUUAUUAAUUACUACAGCCUUAAUGCUAUUCUUGACCUCUGGUACUCCUGUUUUUGUUUUUUUUUUUUUUUACUCUUCAGGAAGGUCCUGCUCAUUCUUAGCCCUUUACAGAUUAUUUCUUACUCAUUCUAGAUUCUUUCAUACGUUUUGGGAGAGAAAAAAGUAUGUCACUUAAGGUCCCCAUUUUUGUUGGAGUGUUCUUUUACCUUUCCUCCCCAACCUUUCCAGUUCUAUUUCUACUUUAAGUGAUUACAGUCCUGCUAGAAAACUCAUAAAGAAUAAAAGAAUAUACAGUAAAAACUGUCUUUAAACAAACUCUGUCCCCUGGCACCCAGGUGUCCUCCCAAUAGUUUGUGUGUACCCUGUAGGCAUUUUACGCAUAAAGCAGCUAAUGUAUAUUGUGCUUUUUCCUAGUUUAUACAAAUGAGAGUAACAAAUCAAACACAGUUGCCAACUUCUUGCUUCUUCAUUUAUUAUAUCUUGAAGAUUGUUCCGUAUCAGUUAAUAAAGUUCUUCUCGUUUUACACAAGUGUAAUUUCAGUCUGUUUACCAAUUUCUUUGUUCACCAGGCUUCUUGCAG